UCGGAUUUGCAAGGUGUUGGCGUUAUGUUGGGUGAGCAGGGCAAUGCGGACGCCUAUCCAAGCGGAAGGUGGUGGCGCAGGCCCAGAUUAUUUCAAAACGGGCAGCUUCGCCCCUGCAGGAGACUGCUACGUUCUCAGGCGGCGUUGUGUGCAAUUCGUACGAACGAAGGGGAGCGGUUUCGUGCUUGAAAAAAAUCUUCAAGUGCAUCUGUGAGAAUGCUUUUAAUUUUAAACAUCGGUGCCACGCAGAACAAUGGCGCUAUCUUUCAGCGGUAUGUCGGAGCAGUUACGUGGAGCUAUGAAGAUGCGUGAGAAAGUUCCAGAAACAGCUAGGAGAAUAUUUAAUGAAACGUGACCUGGUUAAAACCUGUCUUAACCAGCAUUCUGAAGCUGUAGAUGUCGGGUGUCAGUGCCGAGCAGCUUCGUUUUGAAUGAGGGUCGCUGUCUGCCCGUUGAAAGAGGCCACCUUGUUGUGAAAUGCCUACAUUGCAACAAUUUCUGACCAGUACCAUGAAGUUUGCUGGUCUUUUAUGUGAAAAGCUGGUGAUAACAAAGACGUCCGGGAAAAGCUCUUCAUUUUACAAACAUGAAAGGAAAACAUACAAUUUCGGAUUAUCUUUUUUGUUUUUUAAUUUUGUAAAUAGAUCAUGAAAUUUUUAUGGAAAAUUUUUUGCUUUUAGUUAACCAGUCUUAUAAUUGAAUUAUUCUGAAUGAAUAUUUCACCUUUAGUCACACAUUUGAACUUAAAAUGUAUAAUUUUAAUUAAAACUGCGUGAAAUUUU